UACGAAGGGGGCUAGCGUUGCUCGGAAUCACUGGGCGUAAAGCGCACGUAGGCGGAUUGUUAAGUCAGGGGUGAAAUCCUGGAGCUCAACUCCAGAACUGCCUUUGAUACUGGCGAUCUCGAGUCCGGGAGAGGUGAGUGGAACUGCGAGUGUAGAGGUGAAAUUCGUAGAUAUUCGCAAGAACACCAGUGGCGAAGGCGGCUCACUGGCCCGGUACUGACGCUGAGACGCGAAAGCGUGGGGAGC
rnacentral:rRNA from 1 species